UCUCCAGCCAGUACCAAGGUGGAAAAUGGAAUGAAUCUGCCUCUGCCUCUGAGAGUGGGCUUGUGGGCUUCCUGAAGUGCAUCCUGGUUAAGGCUUCUAUGCGCUCUUAAAGAUGUGAAUCUUGCCGAACUUUAAAAGAUCUUGAGAGUGCAAGUCUUGUCACUAGUGACCUUGUGGCAAUAGAACACAAGCAAUGUCUACUUCAUGUUGCUCUUUAUGUCUGCAGUAUUUGGCACAUAGAGCUGAAGAUGGUGUGAUAGAAUCACCUGAAGGAAUUAAGAAUGUCAACCCGGAGAAGAGAAUUUAAGGGGACACAGGAAGCAAUGGUUCCAUGAAGAAAAAAGCAUUUGUUAAGCAUUUGCUGAAAUACCCAGCAUGGAUAGAGAACUUGAAAGUUUGCAAACAAUUUUUAUAUAUUUAUGUAUAUUCGCGCUGUCCUCUACUAUUUGAAAGCCCACCACUCAAAACUGGAUGACCAUUUUAGGGAAAGGAGGAUCGGUUUCCCUUCUAGAAUAAAAAGAACUAUAUGAUUUC